GACGAACGCUGGCGGCGUGCUUAACACAUGCAAGUCGAACGGAAAGGCCCUGCCUUUGUGGGGUGCUCGAGUGGCGAACGGGUGAGUAACACGUGAGUAACCUGCCCUUGACUUUGGGAUAAGUUCAGGAAACGGGGGCUAAUACCGGAUAGGAGAUCCGGCUGCAUGGUGGGGGUUGGAAAGUUUCGGCGGUUGGGGAUGGACUCGCGGCUUAUCAGCUUGUUGGUGGGGUAGUGGCUUACCAAGGCGUCGACGGGUAGCCGGCCUGAGAGGGUGACCGGCCACAUUGGGACUGAGAUACGGCCCAGACUCCUACGGGAGGCAGCAGUGGGGAAUAUUGCACAAUGGGCGGAAGCCUGAUGCAGCAACGCCGCGUGAGGGAUGACGGCCUUCGGGUUGUAAACCUCUUUCGCCUGGGACGAAGCGUAAGUGACGGUAAUGGGUAAAGAAGCACCGGCUAACUACGUG
rnacentral:rRNA from 1 species